GUUCAGACUCGUUCUAACUACGAGGAGCAGGCUGUAGUGGUCACCAACCAGUGGAGAGUCUUCACUGUGGAUCCCAGUAAAGCUCUGGACUCGCUGGCUGAGGUAUAAACAUUGAAACUGGUGUGAAAGAUCAUUUCACUGACUUCUGCUGUAAACUGAGCGCAGAACCACAAGGAAAUAGACCAGACCUUUAAUAUCUAGAAGAGCAGCGCGGCCUGAACCACAUCUGAGCCGCAGCCGGCCCGGUGCAACAUGGACGAGGACACUUCAGAGCAAGUUGGACCCUCACA